UACGUAGGGGGCGAGCGUUGUCCGGAAUGACUGGGCGUAAAGGGCGUGUAGGCGGCUUUUUAAGUCUGGAGUGAAAGCCCCGUUUUCAAGGCGGGGAUUGCUUUGGAGACUGGAGAGCUUGAGUGCGGAAGAGGUAAGUGGAAUUCCCAGUGUAGCGGUGAAAUGCGUAGAGAUUGGGAGGAACACCAGUGGCGAAGGCGACUUACUGGGCCGUAACUGACGCUGAGGCGCGAAAGCGUGGGGAGCGAACAGGAUUAGAUACCCUGGUAGUCCACGCUGUAAACGAUGAAUGCUAGGUGUAGCGGGUAUCGACCCCUGCUGUGCCGGAGUAAACACAAUAAGCAUUCCGCCUGGGGAGUACGGCCGCAAGGUUGAA
rnacentral:rRNA from 1 species